rnacentral:rRNA from 1 species
UACAGAGGGUGCGAGCGUUGUUCGGAUUUACUGGGCGUAAAGGGCGCGUAGGCGGCGUGUUAAGUCAGCUGUGAAAUCUCCAAGCUUAACUUGGAACGGUCAGCUGAUACUGAUGUGCUAGAGUGCAGAAGGGGCAAUCGGAAUUCUUGGUGUAGCGGUGAAAUGCGUAGAUAUCAAGUGGAACACCAGUGGCGAAGGCGAAUCCCUGGAAAAUACCUGACACUGAGGCACGAAAGCUAGGGGAGCAAACAGG